rnacentral:rRNA from 1 species
UACACUCCUGCGGGAGGCAGCAGUGGGGAAUAUUGCACAAUGGGCGCAAGCCUGAUGCAGCCAUGCCGCGUGUAUGAAGAAGGCCUUCGGGUUGUAAAGUACUUUCAGCGGGGAGGAAGGCGAUAAGGUUAAUAACCUUGUUGAUUGACGUUACCCGCAGAAGAAGCACCGGCUAACUCCGUGCCAGCAGCCGCGGUAAUACGGAGGGUGCAAGCGUUAAUCGGAAUUACUGGGCGUAAAGCGCACGCAGGCGGUCUGUCAAGUCGGAUGUGAAAUCCCCGGGCUCAACCUGGGAACUGCAUUCGAAACUGGCAGGCUAGAGUCUUGUAGAGGGGGGUAGAAUUCCAGGUGUAGCGGUGAAAUGCGUAGAGAUCUGGAGGAAUACCGGUGGCGAAGGCGGCCCCCUGGACAAAGACUGACGCUCAGGUGCGAAAGCGUGGGGAGCAAACAGGAUUAGAAACCCGAGUAGUCCC